rnacentral:rRNA from 1 species
GAUGAACGCUGACAGAAUGCUUAACACAUGCAAGUGAACUGUGGCGGACGGGUGAGUAACGCGUAAAGAACUUGCCUCACGGAUUGGGACAACUUUUGGAAACGAAUGCUAAUACCUGAUACUGUGAGAGAGCUUUGCGUCCCAUUAGCUAGUUGGAGAGGUAACGGCUCACCAAGGCGAUGAUGGGUAGCCGGCCUGGGAGGGUGAUCGGCCACAAGGGGACUGGGACGCGGCCCUUACGCAUACGGGGGGAAGGAGUGGAGACUGUUGGACAAUGGACCAAAGUGUGAUCAAGCAAUUCUGUGGGCACGAUGAGGUUUUCGGAAGGUAGGGUGCUGUCGUUUGAAAAGCGGUACCAACAGAAGAAGUGACGGCUAAAUACGUGCCAGCAGCCGCGGUAAUAC